rnacentral:rRNA from 1 species
AAUCCUACGGGACGCAGCAGUGGGGAAUAUUGCACAAUGGGGGAAACCCUGAUGCAGCGACGCCGCGUGAGUGAAGAAGUAUCUCGGUACGUGAAGCUCUAUCAGCAGGGAAGAAAAUGACGGUACCUGACUAAGAAGCCCCGGCUAACUACGUGCCAGCAGCCGCGGUGAUACGUAGGGGGCAAGCGUUAUCCGGAUUUACUGGGUGUAAAGGGAGCGUAGACGGCAGCGCAAGGCUGGAGUGAAAUGCCGGGGCCCAACCCCGGAACUGCUUUGGAAACUGUGCAGCGCGAGUGCUG